UUGACCAUUGACCUCAAAUCAGGUAGACUACCC
rnacentral:rRNA from 1 species